rnacentral:rRNA from 1 species
GCAGAGCAUCCUCCGGGAGGCAGCAGUGGGGAAUAUUGCACAAUGGGCGCAAGCCUGAUGCAGCCAUGCCGCGUGUAUGAAGAAGGCCUUCGGGUUGUAAAGUACUUUCAGCAGUGAGGAAGGUGGAUAUGUUAAUAGCAUAUUCAUUUGACGUUAGCUGCAGAAGAAGCACCGGCUAACUCCGUGCCAGCAGCCGCGGUAAUACGGAGGGUGCGAGCGUUAAUCGGAAUUACUGGGCGUAAAGCGCAUGCAGGUGGUUUGUUAAGUCAGAUGUGAAAGCCCGGGGCUCAACCUCGGAAUUGCAUUUGAAACUGGCAAACUAGAGUACUGUAGAGGGGGGUAGAAUUUCAGGUGUAGCGGUGAAAUGCGUAGAGAUCUGAAGGAAUACCGGUGGCGAAGGCGGCCCCCUGGACAGAUACUGACACUCAGAUGCGAAAGCGUGGGGAGCAAACAGGAUUAGAUACCCUGGUAG